GCCGACUUAGCUCAAUAGGUAGAGCAACUGACUUGUAAUCAGUAGGUUACGGGUUCAAUUCCUGUAGUCGGCACCA
rnacentral:tRNA from 1 species